rnacentral:rRNA from 1 species
UGGGGAAUAUUGGACAAUGGACCGAGAGUCUGAUCCAGCAAUUCUGUGUGCACGAUGAAGUUUUUCGGAAUGUAAAGUGCUUUCAGUUGGGAAGAAAAAAAUGACGGUACCAACAGAAGAAGUGACGGCUAAAUACGUGCCAGCAGCCGCGGUAAUACGUAUGUCACGAGCGUUAUCCGGAUUUAUUGGGCGUAAAGCGCGUCUAGGUGGUUAUGUAAGUCUGAUGUGAAAAUGCAGGGCUCAACUCUGUAUUGCGUUGGAAACUGUAUAACUAGAGUACUGGAGAAGUAAGCGGAACUACAAGUGUAGAGGUGAAAUUCGUAGAUAUUUGUAGGAAUGCCGAUGGGGAAGCCAGCUUACUGGACAGAUACUGACGCUAAAGCGCGAAAGCGUGGGUAGCAAACAGG